rnacentral:piRNA from 1 species
UAGCAAGAACUGUAAAAGAUCAAUAA